UUUUGAGAUAAUUAUAUGGUUUUUGUCCUUUGACUUAUUUCUAGUAUUAAGCAAUUAUUGCACUCCUGAAGUCAAUCCUACUUGAUUAUGGUAGAUGUUUGUUCCAGUUAGCUGCUUAAUUUGCUCUAUUCUUAUUUUAUUUAGUCCUUUCAAAUCUACAUUAAUAAGGUUGAUUUACAGCUUUUGUAUUUUGGACACUUUUUGGUCACUUUUGCUAUUUUUUCUUAUGCUAACUUCAUAAAAUGAACUGAAUUGCUUCCCAGUAAAACUGUCUGGUCCCAUACCUUUUAUUGGAGAAAAUUAGUUGAUAGCUUUAAAUUUCUUUCAAUUUUAUCAAUCUUUUCAUGUUUGAUAUUUUUCUUGAGUCAGUUUUGAUUAUAGAUAUUUUCUUGUUAAUGUUUUAUUUCACUGAGAUUUUGAAAUUUAUUUGCAUAAACAUGUAUGUAGUAAUUACCUAAUUUCAGAAAAAUUUCCAUUUCUUAUUUUUCAUUGUAAGGUUCUUCCUAUCCCCGGGGCUUAAAAAUGAUGCCAUAGAGGCAGGAUUGAAAGACUAUUUGAGAGACUGACGUUGGGCUCUACUCAUUUGCCCAUCUCUCAUCAUCUACAAACAAAUAUGUGAUAUGUGAAAGGGUAGAUUUUUAGUCACAAAUUAAGUUAUUAUAGAAAAGUAGGUAGUUGACAUCAUCAACUGUUUGUAGAUGAUGGCUCCUAUCUGCUGCUUGUGACACAGCUUGCUUUUCAUUAGAAAUAAUGACUUCUUUUCCAGGUAGCUCUCUAGUUCCUCCUAUAAAUAACACCCUGAUGGGUCUGUCCAGGCUGCAGGUCUCCAGACAGUCCCAGGUAAAAAGGGGGAACAGGCAUGGAAGGAGGAGAGACAAAGGCAAGGCGAUGGAAAUGGGAAAGUGCCAUGAUCCACUGGGGCAAUGGCAAGGAGGAAACAUAAGCACAGGUCAGACUGAGACAGAUGUUCGUGGCCUGCAAGGCAGGCACAACUGUCUUCUUCAAAACAUUGGAAUACCACCUUUUGGAAUAAUUUUUAUAUUUUUAUAG
ensembl:lncRNA